CAAGGUCGUAACUCCUUCUCUUCUCUGGAGGGGCUUCAGGAGAGAAAAUCUGGGGGUUCUGGGGGUUGAAUCUCUCCUGCCCAUGGAAACAGUAGAGUCAGCCGAUCAUCGCAUGUUCCCAAGCAAGCACCCCGGUGGGGCAUAGGAGAAGCUGGCUGCUGCUGCUGGUUUGGCUCCAUCAAGGUUCCCAAGGAGGCUGUCAAAGAAGAUGGCGUGCUUUCUCUGUGCUGGCUACUACUUCACCAUCAAGAUUUUGGCCUAAAUAGUCACUUCUGCAUGAAAAACAACUUCACAAGAUGCAUCCAGACAUUGCAGGCAUGGCAAUAUCAAAGAGAGAUGUCUACUCAAGGGACCUCCAUAGACCAAGCCUAAUAGCAGAUGGGUAAAGCUCCUCCUCCUCCACAGUGAAACUUUGUCUGUUAAUCAAUUCACAGCAGAGUACUUGAUCAUAUUUUGUCACCAUUCAAGAGACAGAACUGGUUUUAGUGAUUUGGUGGCUCGAGACACUGCUACAGAAUAAAUCGUUUUGGGACUUAGGCUCUCACUAUACUUUAUAUGCAACCCAUCACCUAAAAAGGCCAGUUUCCAUCAUUCUCCUUCUUGCAGGGUUUGUUGUCGACUUCUCCAUGUACUCACUGAUAGACUGGAUUAGAUGAGAAAAUAUGCAAAUUCACUCCUAAUAAAACAUUUUAAAUUCUGA